GAUGAACGCUGGCGGCGUGCCUAAUACAUGCAAGUCGAGCGAACGGACGAGAAGCUUGCUUUUCUGAUGUUAGCGGCGGACGGGUGAGUAACACGUGGAUAACCUACCUAUAAGACUGGGAUAACUUCGGGAAACCGGAGCUAAUACCGGAUAAUAUUUUGAACCGCAUGGUUCAAAAGUGAAAGACGGUCUUGCUGUCACUUAUAGAUGGAUCCGCGCUGCAUUAGCUAGUUGGUAAGGUAACGGCUUACCAAGGCAACGAUGCAUAGCCGACCUGAGAGGGUGAUCGGCCACACUGGAACUGAGACACGGUCCAGACUCCUACGGGAGGCAGCAGUAGGGAAUGUUCCGCAAUGGGCGAAAGCCUGACGGAGCAACGCCGCGUGAGUGAUGAAGGUCUUCGGAUCGUAAAGCUCUGUUAUUAGGGAAGAACAUAUGUGUAAGUAACUGUGAACAUCUUGACGGUACCUAAUCAGAAAGCCACGGCUAACUACGUG
rnacentral:rRNA from 1 species